UGCUGAGAAGAUAAAAUGGAAUUCUGAAACCUACGUUUGCACUUUUUCUGUCUGCUAAUCCACAUAAUUUCUGACUGGAGGUACACUUGGAAUUUACUUUAUUUGGCCUUCUGCUGUUUUAUGUGCCACAAUCUCCUACAGAUACAGGAUAAUUGGUUUAGCGUUUGGGGAUCUGACCACAAGAUGGCAGAGCUUCUCUGCUCAUGUAGAAUGUAUGAAAGGAUCCUUUUGGUUGACUUCUGUGAGUAGGCUGAGGACAGAAGCAGAUGCCUCUGUGGACUGUUUAAGAAACCACAGUGCUUUGGAGGAAAGGAAGAGACACUUGAUAAUAUAGCUCUCUUGGCUGGAGAUUGCAGGUCCCGGUGGGGAGAACAAUGAAGACACUUACUGGAUCUUUGUUCCUGUUUUUGUGGCUGCAGCUGGACUGUAUGAGUAGAGGAGAGGAUGUGGAGCAGAGUCUUUUCCUGAGUGUCCGAGAGGGAGACAUCUCCGUUAUAAACUGCACUUACACGGACAGUUCCUCCACCUACUUAUAUUGGUAUAAGCAAGAACCUGGAGCAGGUCUCCAGUUGCUGAUAUAUAUUCUUUCAAAUAUGGACCUGAAACGAGACCAAAGAGUCACUGUUCUAUUGAAUAAGAAGGAUAAACAUCUGUCUUUGCGCAUCGCAGACACCCAGACUGAGGACUCAGCUAUCUACUUCUGUGCAGAGAGUACACAUUGCCUCUCAGGCACCUGUAUCCUGUACCUAAACCUGCGCCUGGGGCUAAAGCCACACUCUAUUUCCUUUAUCUUUAAGUCAGGGAUUUUGCUGUUUUGUAUUUUUAAUGUUACAAAACAUCCUAAAACGUCAGUUUCAAAAUGACUUAAUAACUUUCAGAACAUUUUGAUUAAACUCUUUUUGGGAGUUAAUGAUUUCUUAGUUGAAAUCCUGGUCUUAG